CAGAUCACAUACCUUCUGAGUUACU
rnacentral:piRNA from 1 species